rnacentral:rRNA from 1 species
UUGGAGAGUUUGAUCCUGGCUCAGGACGAACGCUGGCGGCGUGCUUAACACAUGCAAGUCGAACGAAGAGCGAUGGAAGCUUGCUUCUAUCAAUCUUAGUGGCGAACGGGUGAGUAACGCGUAAUCAACCUGCCCUUCAGAGGGGGACAACAGUUGGAAACGACUGCUAAUACCGCAUACGAUCCAACCUCGGCAUCGAGGAUGGAUGAAAGGUGGCCUCUAUUUAUAAGCUAUCACUGAAGGAGGGGAUUGCGUCUGAUUAGCUAGUUGGAGGGGUAACGGCCCACCAAGGCAAUGAUCAGUAGCCGGUCUGAGAGGAUGAACGGCCACAUUG